rnacentral:rRNA from 1 species
UCGACGGACUUAACUCAUUCUUUUAGAUUGAGAGCGGUUAGUGGCGGACUGGUGAGUAACACGUAAGCAACCUGCCUAUCAGAGGGGAAUAACAGUGAGAAAUCAUUGCUAAUACCGCAUAAGCUAGUAGUAUCGCAUGAUAUAGCUAGAAAAGGAGCAAUCCGCUGAUAGAUGGGCUUGCGUCUGAUUAGCUAGUUGGUGGGGUAACGGCCUACCAAGGCGACGAUCAGUAGCCGGACUGAGAGGCUGAACGGCCACAUUGGGACUGAGAUACGGCCCAGACUCCUACGGGAGGCAGCAGUCGGGAAUAUUGCGCAAUGGAGGAAACUCUGACGCAGUGACGCCGCGUAUAGGAAGAAGGUUUUCGGAUUGUAAACUAUUGUCGUGAGGGAAGAAAUUGACAGUACCUCAGGAGGAAGCUCCAGCUAACUAUGUGCCAGCAGCCGCGGUAAUACAUAGGGAGCAAGCGUUAUCCGGAUUUAUUGGGUGUAAAGGGUGCGUAGACGGGAAAUUAAGUUAGUUGUGAAAUCCCUCGGCUUAACUGAGGAGCUGCAACUAAAACUGAUUUUCUUGAGUACUGGAGAGGAAAGUGGAAUUCCUAGUGUAGCGGUGAAAUGCGUAGAUAUUAGGAGGAACACCAGUGGCGAAGGCGACUUUCUGGACAGUAACUGACGUUGAGGCACGAAAGUGUGGGGAGCAAACA